rnacentral:rRNA from 1 species
CAGUCGCCACGGUAAUACGAAGGGUGCAAGCGUUAAUCGGAAUUACUGGGCGUAAAGGGUGCGUAGGCGGUUGUUUAAGUGAGAUGUGAAAGCCCCGGGCUUAACCUGGGAACUGCAUCUUAUACUGGGUAACUGGAGUGCAGUAGAGGGUAGUGGAAUUUCCGGUGUAGCGGUGAAAUGCGUAGAUAUCGGAAGGAACACCAGUGGCGAAGGCGGCUACCUGGACUGAGACUGACACUGAGGCGCGAGAGCGUGGGGAGCAAACAGGAUUAGAUACCCCUGUAGUCCCUGUCUCUUAUAC